rnacentral:rRNA from 1 species
GACGAACGCUGGCGGCGUGCUUAACACAUGCAAGUCGAACGGAAAGGCCCUGCUUUUGUGGGGUGCUCGAGUGGCGAACGGGUGAGUAACACGUGAGUAACCUGCCCUUGACUUUGGGAUAACUUCAGGAAACUGGGGCUAAUACCGGAUAGGAGCUCCUGCUGCAUGUUGGGGGUUGGAAAGUUUCGGCGGUUGGGGAUGGACUCGCGGCUUAUCCGCUGGUUGGUGUGGUAGUGGCUUACCAAGGCUUUGACGGGUAGCCGGCCUGAGAGGGUGAACGGCGACAUUGGGACUGAGAUACGGCGCAGACUCCUACGGGAGGCAGCAGUGGGGAAUAUUGCACAGUGGGCGGAAGCCUGAUGCAGCAACGCCGCGUGCGGGAUGACGGCCUUCGGGUUGUAAACCGCUUUCGCCUGUGACGAAGCGUGAGUGACGGUAAUGGGUAAAGAAGCACCGGCUAACUACGUG